CUCGGAGCCUGAGCUGCUCCCGGUGCCGGCUGCCAAGCCAGCGGGCUUGUUGGGGUUGAGUUUAGAGCUGGUGUGACCUCCAGGGAGCCCCUUCUCCCGGCAGCUCCCUGCGUGGUUCGUUUUGCCCCAGCAUGGUGCCAUUGCAGGCACGCGGUAACUCCUUGCACCAUGCUCCUGAGUGGAAGGGAGAGAUGAGUGCCGUGGAGUAAUCCCGUCUUUGAAUUGCACUCGCUGCCACUCUGAUCUGAAGAAGUAUCUGGAACUGUGUCACGGGAGCUGUUCUGUCCUGCGCUUCUUUGCAGCCAUGCCUGUGGGUGACAGUGAUCCAGCUUCCCGGCUGGGUUCCAGGACUGAGCCUCUGGGAGAUGGCAUGGUUACAGAAGUGCCCGUAGGGAGGACUUUUCCAGCUCCUCGGCUGGAUGCUGCGCUAGAGCCCAGCUGGCAUCGCAGGGGUCCUCCAAGAGCAAAGCCCCAAGCUGAAGGAGGAAAAAAGUCCCCAGAGGCAUCUGAAGUCCUGAGGCAGAUGCUGGAGGAACUGGAGAGAGGACACGAGUCGGAACGAGAGGCUGUGCGGAAGCAG